AGAUUUCAGAAUGCAGUGGAGGGACUGAGAAACAGGUCUGGAGAGGAACUUCACGGUGAUUACUUGGGAUGGCUGCGUCAUAUUCCAGCAAGGUCCUACUCUGUAAAAUAAGCCAUUGUCCUACGCCUGGGCAACUGACUUGUUUCCAGUUCUUUGCUACAUAAUUAACACUGCUAAAUAUACAAAGUUACGUGUACCCUGUGACUUCAAUUGUAACAAUAACAAAAAAAAGGACCACACAGUUUCAGGAGAAAAUAACCAGAGGGAAAUAGACAAAGAUGAAUUGGUGUACUCCUCAUUCUUCGAUUGUCCAAAAGUUUAUGAUUUUCAUUAUUCUAUUCAUAAAUUUGAUAUAUGCUAUAAACAUGA